ensembl:lncRNA
GGCUCAAAGCAAAGUAAACGAAAGGUAACCUCCAGCCCUCGAGCCCUGCUCAGAGGGGUCAGAGAAAAUGAGUGCUGUGGUCAUGUGGUUGGCAAGGAUACUGGAGUGGGUUGCCAUUUCCUCCUCCAGAGGAUCUUCCUGACCCAAGGAUCAAACCCGCGUCUCCUGCACUGCAGGCGGAUUCUUCACCACGGAGCCACCUGGGAAGUCCCAAACAGGGCUGAUGAUAGUUCAUAUCUUAUACGGCAGUUGUGAGGAUUACAUGAAAAUAAACAAACAACAAACCCCACAAAGAAUGGACUGUAGCCCGCCAGGCUCCUCUGUCCCUGGAACUCUCCAGGCAAGAAUAACGAGUUGAAUAGACCAUAGCCCGCCAGCCUCUUCCGUCCCUGGGACUCUCCAGGCAAGAACACUGGAGCCGGCUGCUGGGCCACCUCGGCGGUCCCCGGCAGGAGGCUCUGGGGUCCGCGAUCAACUCGAGCCCGCCGCGCCGUCGCCGGCGUCCAGCAGGGGGCGCUGCACCCCGGCUCGCCGGCCCUCUCUUCCCCGCCGAGGCCGCCGAGACGCCGGCCAGUCGGGGAGCGGGUCUGCGCGCGCACGUUCUC